UCCCACUUUCUGCUUGUUUUCAGCUAGCUGGUGAAAGAUUUUGUAUAUCGGUAUUUCUUUUGCAAGUGUUCGACGAAAACAGAGUUUGCUGUUUCAUUAGAUUGACAGAGCAUAGUUGCAACAUGCCACGGAAAAAGUACUGGAGAAAAACAAGAUUCCAUAAGGAGACAAAAGGGGAUGGAAACGUGUCAAAAAAAAAUGACAGUGACGAGUCUGGGACUGUUGUUUUUACAGAGAUAAGUACAGUUUCUGGACAUUUUCAUCAAGGACAUCCACAAUUUAUGCCAAAUAGUGGAGCACAAUGUGUGGCUAAUAGUUGCUCAGCUAUUCUGUAUGAUAAAGUAAAGCCAGUUUCUAUGUGGACUAGUAAUGAUCUUGAUGCUGUAUUGAUUUCUGGUGAUGAAUUGUACUCUAAUGUUAAACCUAAUCUUCCUGCUGGUGAGACCUUUUUGCUCAUUUCAGACAUUCCAGAUGUGAUGGACAUGCACAAUGGUACUUUCAGUAUAAGGGCAGGUGAAUCUUUGACAGGUUAUGUACUUGGUAGUGUUCAUGCAGAUCUGCAGUCUGAUAUUUUCAUGCCACUGAGAGAUGCUCUUGAUAGAACACUAUCUGUGUUUACUUCGUGCCUUAUAACCUUCAACUCUUCUACAUUUGCUAUCAUUAAACGAGACCAGUACUUAUAUGUCAUUGAUUCUCAUUCCAGGAAUGUAGAAGGUGUACAAGUUGUUGAUGGAACUGCUGUAAGCAUCAGAUACACAGGUCUAGAAGGGGUGUUUCAACACUGUACUCGUCUGGCUAUUUCACUCAACACUGCAGCUUGUGAAAGAACCAACCACAGAAAACGGGACACUGAUUGAUCAUGUUUAUGUCAGACAUGUCCAUUUGAAAACAGUCAAAGUCAUCCCAACUUAUUUUAGCUACCACGAUGCCAUUAUGUCCAUAUUAUAAGAAGAGCAGGAGCUUAGGUCAUGGAAAUCUCAGUAAUUGUUGGCACUGGAGCUU